AGAGUUUGAUCCUGGCUCAGAACGAACGCUGGCGGCAGGCUUAACACAUGCAAGUCGAGCGCCUCGCAAGAGGAGCGGCAGACGGGUGAGUAACGCGUGGGAAUCUACCCAUCUCUACGGAACAACUCCGGGAAACUGGAGCUAAUACCGUAUACGUCCUUCGGGAGAAAGAUUUAUCGGAGAUGGAUGAGCCCGCGUUGGAUUAGCUAGUUGGUGGGGUAAUGGCCUACCAAGGCGACGAUCCAUAGCUGGUCUGAGAGGAUGAUCAGCCACAUUGGGACUGAGACACGGCCCAAACUCCUACGGGAGGCAGCAGUGGGGAAUAUUGGACAAUGGGCGAAAGCCUGAUCCAGCCAUGCCGCGUGAGUGAUGAAGGCCCUAGGGUUGUAAAGCUCUUUCAACGGUGAAGAUAAUGACGGUAACCGUAGAAGAAGCCCCGGCUAACUUCGUGCCAGCAGCCGCGGUAAUACGAAGGGGGCUAGCGUUGUUCGGAAUUACUGGGCGUAAAGCGCACGUAGGCGGAUAUUUAAGUCAGGGGUGAAAUCCCGGGGCUCAACCCCGGAACUGCCUUUGAUACUGGGUAUCUCGAGUCCGAGAGAGGUGAGUGGAACUCCGAGUGUAGAGGUGAAAUUCGUAGAUAUUCGGAGGAACACCAGUGGCGAAAGCGGCUCACUGGCUCGGUACUGACGCUGAGUGCGAAAGCGUGGGGAGCAAACAGGAUUAGAUACCCUGGUAGUCC
rnacentral:rRNA from 1 species